UCAGUUUGUGUACAGUUUGCAAUUAUUUGGCUGUUUUAAUGAGAAGAAAGACCUUCAGCCCGUGAUGUCAGAGAUAAGGAAGUGUGGAAAGUAGCAGAUGUGUGACCUUGCUGCUCUCCUGUUGCUUUCUCCUUUGUUCUGUGUGUUGCAGCUCUUCAAGGUUUUAAAGCCAACAAGGGGUGAGGGGAAAGCUAAUGCAGGUUUUGUGGUAACUCCGGCUCCUGGCUUGUGAAGCAACCUGCUGGCCUUUAAUACAAGCCACUAGUGCCAACUGAGAGCUAGCAGCUGCUCAGAAGCUGGGAUCCUACAGGCUGCAGCAAUUUCCAGAGUCUGGAUUUUUGUUCACUUUGCUAAGCUAGGAUAAAAGCGAGGAGCUAACAUCUCCCAGUUUGCUCGUGCCAUACAAGUACCCUAUCUCAGCAGACCAUCCAGAAGCUGCUGUUGGAUUACAAACUCCCUCUUAUCCUUCUAAUGUGGAUGAGACCUCAAAA